rnacentral:lncRNA from 1 species
CAAAUCUGUGUUCACCAGUUUAUUUAUUUAACAUUGCUUCUUGCAUCAUACACUUACCUUCAAAGACAAUUUUCCUUUUUUCUGGAGUACAUCCUUUAGGAGUCUUUUCAGUGACAGUAUGUUAGCCGUAGACAGUUUCUGUUUAUCUGAAGACGUCUUUGUUUCAGCUUCAUUCCUGAUUAAUGAUUCAACAGAGUAUGGAAUUCUACAUUCUAUCUUCACUCAGCAUUUUGAAGAUAUUAUUCCAUUGUCUUCCGGUUUUUAUUGUUGCUUUGAGAAAUCUGCUGCCAGUCAUAAUGUUCUUUUCCUUAGUAGCUAAUCUGUUGCUCUUUGUUUUGUUUGUUUGUUUGUUUGUUUGUUUUCUGUGUGUGUGUGUGUCUUCUAGGGCCGCACAUGAGGCCUGUGGAAGUUCCCAGGCUAAGGGUCGAAUCAGAGCUUCAGCCACCGGCUUACAUCACAGCUCAUGGCAAAGCCAGAUCCUGAACCCACUGAGCGAGGCCAGAGAUUGAACCUGAGUCUUCGUGGAUACUAGUCAGGUUCAUUACUGCUGAACCACAACGGGAACUCCUGAUAGCUUUUAGGAUGCUCGGUUCUGCUGAGGAUUUAUUGUGCAAUCUGAAUUCAUCUUUUAUCAGUUCUGGAAAGUUCUGGGCUCUUUUGCCAUUAAAUACGGCUUCUCCCACAUUCUCUCUAUUCUUCCUUCUAAAACUCCUAUUAGUUGUAAACGGGACCUUUUUUUUUUCAUUCUAUUCUCCAUAUUUUUUACCUCCUUUACUUAUUUUUAUUAUUCUGUGUUGCAUCCUGGGUAAUUAUGGGACCUUACUCUCUGGUUCAAUGAAUCCCUGUCUCUAAGGUCCCACUCUUGCCUCCCAGGACACAAGACAUCGAUUCCUGUCCCCUCCCCAAGUGGGCAUUAAAUUGUCCAAGGCCCUAGAGUACUGGAACAAGGCCUCGCCCCUUUCACUCCCACCUACGGCAGUCACAUCAUCACUCACAGCCUUGCCACCCUAGUUUUCAGUACCCUUCUCAUUCACAGUCCCUGUCAAUUUCCCAUGUGUACAUCUAUUCAUUCAAAUAAAUAUUUGUUUCUUUCUAGAUAACUGUGGAAAACGGGUUUUCAGGUUAUCUUUAUCCUAGUAGUACCAGAACUAGAAGCUGACAUUUAUUUAUAUAAGCAAAUAUGAAAUCCACCAUUUGCUGAGAUUCCUAGCCGUGAUGCUGAUAUUCUUCCCCUAAGUAGCUUUGUCAGAUAAAUAUCCUGGUUUGCAUCUUCUGCACAUAUUUUUUAACACGGAAGUCAUAAAGGCUCACCACCGCCCUAAGUUUCACUACACAGUAAGUUAAAACUCCUGCGAUAUUUGGCCUGCUGCAGGGGGGAACUGCUCCUUCACAAUGAAGACCUAUCUUAGUACCGCAUCCGUGGAUCUUACCCUAAAAAUACUCUUGCUUUUAUGUUUUAGUAAUAUUAUUAAGUCCUUAAUGAGCGCGGCAGUGAAAAGUAUGAGAAAACAUAUACAUGAGCUCUGGAAUCAGCAAAACGUGGCUUCCACAUGGGUGUCCUCGGGAAAAACUGUUCUAUAAUGAGCCUCAGUUUCUACCAUCUGUAAAAUGGGGGUGAUGGAGACAUCCUUUGCAGGGAAGCAGUUAAAAUUAGAGAUAAUGUUUAUAAAGCAUCCCGCACAAAAUAGGUUCUUAAAUUAUUAUUGAAUCUACCUUUAAGGUCUUUUCUUUUAACUACCUAAGUACACCCCUUGCCAUCAUCCACAGUGGCUGAAAGGGUGUUCUUUCCAUUAUGAGUUCCUCUAUCUCACUAGUCACCAACUAUUUCCUUUUCUUAACGUUAACAAAAUUUCCUUUUUUUAUAUGCUUCUGGUCAUUUAGGAGCAGUCACCUUAACUUUAAUUGCCUUGACUAAAUCUCUAAACCCAAUAAAUGUUUCAGCCAUAAAAUGAAUCAUGGCUUUAUCCGCAUGUUCGUAGCUGGGAUGAUAUAAGUAGAAAAGGUGGGGUCAUUUGCAAGGUUCUCGUUGGAAUACACCCGAUCAGAGGAUGUCAGAGCUGGAAGGAACCAGAGGAAUGCUCCAGAUGAGGAGCCUAAGCUGACCCCCUCCCUUCCCCAAGCGCACACCAACCAGCGAGGGACAGAGCUGAGAUCCAACGUCCAGCUUUCUGAUCCCAGGAGCAAGGCUCUACCUGGAGUCAGCUUCACGGACCAAACUGCAAAGUUGCAACUAACCUUCCUGAAUAAUCAGUUGGUAAUCUGGAAGCAAGCCAAAUUGUCGUUGUUAAUAAGUUCCCUUCCACUCUGUUUCUGUGGCCCUAUAAACCUAUCAAUGGUAGCUUUCCAGAAAGCCUUAUGACUCAGUGUUCACUGUAGAUGUUGAAUACCUGUGUGUCCAAUGACAUAAUGACAUAAUGAAGGGCUGUCUUGACAUUAUCUGGCAUUAUGUGCCAUGCAUUCUAAGCCUGAAUUGAACCUUUUUAUAUUCCCAAUUCAUGUUAGAAGUGGCCCUUAUUGUUCUCCUGGCAUUGCUAUUUUUAUGUGUUUUUAAUAUUUUCCCCACACGGAAACGGAAAAUAUGCCUUUCUUUCACGUCUGGGUGUUUAAUCCCUCUCAGACACGGAAGUUGGCAAUCUUUCCAUGAAGUGGUCGUCUCCAGGCUAUGGUUCCGUGCAGAGACCACCCCUCUCCCCCAACUGUGUAAUGGAUGCCAGGCUGGGGCAGGAGCGGGUGGGGGAGACUCAGUGGACAUCCAUGACCUCCAUGAGAAAGUUCACAUGUUGUGUCUUACCAACAGUGGGUUGGGAACAUGGUGGCUCCAGACCGAGGUGUAUAUUACCCUGGAGCUCAGCCAGGUCCUGGGAGGGUCUUGAGUAGAAUGGGAGGCAGGCUGUGGGAACAGCACCACCAUCACCAAACAUGGCAGCAGGAAAGCAGGAGGCCCAGCAGCCCUGGUGAUCUGGGUGGGCAAGGUGGGCACAAACACGCUUGCACCUUUAAGGCCUGACUGGCCCAUUGGGCUGGCCAUCGGUUUGGUGGUUGCGUCCUGAAAUCAAGUGGACCUUCCUCUGACGUGAAGGAAGAUAUGGCCUUCAACACUGAGAGUGGACGUAUGGGAUCUCAGAGGGUUGGGCUGGGUCUGGCAACGUAUAAUCAGACUACACGUCAUAGAAGUAGCUGUGCCUGGAGGUCCCUGGCACAAAAGAGUGUUCUGUUCUUGAGCCCUGACACCGUCCACUUGAGUCUUUGGGGCCACAACACUCAAUCAAUUCAAAACAGUCAUCAGAGUUCCCGUUGUGGCUCAGCAGUUAACAAAUCCAACUAGCAUCCAUGAGGACGCAGGUUCAAUCCCUGGCCUCACUCAGGUCGUGAGUUACGCUGCCAGGAAAAACCGAAAACAAUGUCAUUAUACUCUAGGGGCGUCAAGGUCAAGACCACAUUUCCUGGGGAUGCCUAAUGAAAGGUUCCCAGACCUCUGUCAUGCGCGUCCACUCAUCUGCUUGAGCUCCCCGCCAAACGCCACUGUUGUCCCUCUGGCAUGGGCCUCUCUCCUGCUCGGUUAAAGCAGGGCUUCUGUUCAACCACAGCAGCGACAUUUCUCACGCAGGCCAUCUCGGUGAUCAGAUUCGGCUCUUGGUCAUGGCCCUUUACUGUGAUAACAAGCCGGGGCUCUGGGGUUGUAAGGAUGGAAAAGAAAAUCUCCUUCGUUCCGCCCUGUGUGGCAGAAGGUGGGUUAGUGUAAGGUAGGGUAAGGAUGCUGAGAAAUGAGAUCUGAAUUACCAAAGACUCUAAAUUUUACAUAUUUUGACAUUUAUACGUGUUCGUGCAUGUGAUUAUAUGGAGUGGUUAUAUAUAGCCCUUGUAUAUGCAAUUUCCUAGCUCAUGCUAUAUCACAAACUAAGCCAAGCACUGCCAAGCUGUUUUGCUACGUGGAAAUCCUUGCUAUAAUGAAUUAAUAAGAACGCUGUGCAAUCAACAUAUUAAUUGUAUGUAAAUGGUGUUUUUUAAAUGCUUUAAAACAAUUUAUUCCCCUGAGCAUUUUAAAUAGGCCCCCUGGAAAGUUGUUUAUGUAGUCAUUUUCUGGGUGAACUUCUCUCUCCUAGCGGGUUCCUUCAACCCACCAAGGAUCAUUUGCUGUGGCCCUCCCUGAUCUGGAGGUCCCAGGAGCCAGCGUCCUGCGGGCUGGGGCCUGGGAUCCGCCAGAGUGGCUCUGCAAUUUAAUCACCUGUUUUUGUUCCAAAUGUCUGUCUCUUGUCCCUUCUGUCAAUCAAUGCCGAUUCUGCCUGAGGUCUGGGGAAGGUGAAACCCUCCGGGAUCGAUCAACCUAGUAACGAGAGCUCACUCGGCCCUGCCAUGUUCCCACCCUGGCGGACAAGAAGUUCGCUUCAGCCAGGCGUCCGCCCCGUUCCCAAGACAACCAUCACAUUAACAUGCCGCCAGUCACUCAGGACCUUCCCAUUGCGCUAAAGCAAUAAACCGGGAAACGUACAGCACCCAAACAAGAUGUCCAAUGAGGAAAAUGCACGAGCUUCAAGCAGAGAAAGAGCCACUGUUUAGGUGUUUGGGUUUGGGCGCCAAACCAAUUAAGCCCAAUUUCCAAAUUAACCCAACUUCCCAAGGACCUUUCCGAGAAGGAAGGUUUCCAAUAAGGAAGGCCUGAUCUGAGGCAGGCCUGUGGUCCAUCUAGAAUUUUCCCACGAGCCCCGCGGAAGUAUAAUCCUAUUUAUGCUCCUGAGAUGCCGUGGAGAAGCCCCACGCAGGGCCUCAUGUGGGCAUGUGCUUAGAAUCUGCGCCUCUUACCUGGAAAGGGGAAAUCUUUCUUCCCCCCUCCCCGGUUCCCACCUGCGGCUGACGCCACUUUUU